GGGGAAUCUUCCGCAAUGGGCGAAAGCCUGACGGAGCAAGACCGCGUGGGGGAGGAAGGCUCUAGGGUUGUAAACCCCUUUUCUUUGGGAAGAAGUACUGACGGUACCAAAGGAAUCAGCCUCGGCUAACUCCGUGCCAGCAGCCGCGGUAAUACGGAGGAGGCAAGCGUUAUCCGGAAUGAUUGGGCGUAAAGCGUCCGCAGGUGGCCAUGUAAGUCUGCUGUCAAAACCCAGUGCUCAACACUGGUCAGGCAGUGGAAACUACGUAGCUAGAGUUUGGUAGGGGCAAAGGGAAUUCCCGGUGUAGCGGUGAAAUGCGUAGAGAUCGGGAAGAACAUCGGUGGCGAAAGCGCUUUGCUAGACCAAAACUGACACUCAGGGACGAAAGCUAGGG
rnacentral:rRNA from 1 species